rnacentral:lncRNA from 1 species
GCAUGUUCCAUUUUUUUUUUUUUUUUUUUUGUUUUUUUUUUAAUAAUUAAUCAGUUUAUUGCACUAUUCGUUGUUAACAAAUACCCUAAAAGGUACAACUAUCCCAGAUAGGUAUAUCCCUGUGUGUGAAUUAUCAUGUGAACCAGGGGAUUCACAAGAUAAACUUAUUAUAGGUUUCAAAAUGGUUAAUACAAUUUUUUUGUUUUGUAAUUCUAUAGAAUGUAACGGUAAUAAGUCUGGACGACUGAAAUAGAUAAUAAAAAUAAGAUGAAUUUGGAAAAGUCAACCCUAACGAUCCUUUACAUAAGUCUAGAGGGGGUGGGGUUGGAAGGGGGGGGGGGUACUUCAAUACUUAAUUGAUAGGGGUGCCGCUGUUUUGUCACCUUACCCAGUUUAACAUUUUAAAAAUAUAUACCUUUUCAUAAAUUGCGUAGGAAAAAAAGUUAUAUCAUAUAUAUCUGAUAGUUUUCUCAACUUUUCACUUAUUCAAGCUUAAAAAGGUGUAAAUAGAAGUGCCCCCUUCAACCCCAACCCCUUCUGGAAACAUAACUACUGUCAUGGAAAUACACUGACUUUUGAAAACACCCUCUAAGGCAUGUGUCUGUAUCUAUUUUUUGAAGAUAAUCAAUAUUAAGAUUUCUAAGCGCUAAAUGUGUCUUGUCUUUAUAUUAUUCUUCUUGUCGCUGAUAAGUGAGACCCCACCCAGCAUCAGAUGCACAAUCUGUAUAUAUCAGCAAUACCCGGUAUUUUGUUUUGUUUGUUGGUGUUUCAAUAUUGCUUUCCCCCUUAGUAUUUACCUUGGAGUUUGUUUCUUUUUACAAUUUACACCUUAAAUUGCCUUUCUGUUUCAAUAUAUUUAAAAUUAAAUCUUGUAAAUAGAAAACAAAUCGCGGUUGCCAUGGGCACAGAUAUGUUGCUAGGGAGAAACAACAGUGAAUUGGCAAAAAUGUGCAAUUAAUUAUGUAGUAUUUAAAUAGUGUACAAGUGUAAAGUUCACUGCAUGCUAAACAGGUUCAAUUUCAAAUAUAGAUAUAUUUAAGCUGUAUAAUAAUCAUAUUUGAUGAGUUUAACUCCGCCAUUUUAGUGGUUGCUAGGCAACAGAAUAAACCAGCUAGACCCAAAAUUCGAUUAUUUUCAGAAGGUCUAUGGUAUAGACUUACAACAUG